GGAGCCCAAGCCUCCGCCCCGGAUUCCGGAGUACCAGCUCCACCGCGCAUGCGCACACGCCCCAGACCCAGGCUCAGGAGGACUGAGAAGUUUCUGACCGCAGUGCACCAUGGGAAGCUCUGAGGUUUCCAUAAUUCCUGGGCUCCAGAAAGAAGAAAAGGCGGCCGUGGAGAGACGAAGACUUCAUGUGCUGAAAGCUCUGAAGAAGCUAAGCAUUGAGGCCGAUGAGGGCAAUAUCUUCUCUCUACACCAACGAUGGGGACAUGGAAGCUCUCGAGGCUGACCUGAAACAUCGAUUUACCCGACAGGAGUGGGACU
rnacentral:sRNA from 1 species